ensembl:lncRNA
UACAGGCCUGCCCUGGAGGUUGGAGCUGGAGCUGCGGAUGUGGGUUGUGGUGGAUGAGGCUGGAGGUGCGGCCCAGGAAGGGAGGAGCCGGAGGGCCCAAAGUCCAAGGAGGCCUGCACUCACAGGAGGCCGCCCCCAGGCCUAAGGAGGGGUGGGUGUGGUGCAGCGCCCAGCCUACCCGGAGGUUUUAAAGACCUGAGGGAGCCGUGGGUGAGGGCGACGGGAGGGGCUCUGCAUGGAGGCUGGCAACUCCCAGGGCUGCUCUUCAGUACAGGGCUCAGGCUGGCAGAAACCCUGUUUAUUAAAAAGGGUGGAGUGGACCCAGUGUGUCCUAGGAUCUGUUCUCUGCUCCCAUCACUCAGCUGGUUGAGAGAAGACGGGCCACGAGACAGAGAGGGUGUGAACAGGCCAAAGAAACCCCACAGCCUUCGCCCGCCCAGGAGAGCAGGAGAGAAGCAGAUCCUGCCUGACUGAUCCCAGACCCCCGCACUGCCCUGCUGACAUUUGAUAAAUGCUUCCUGUGAAAAUGUUUACCCAGGAGGAAAGGAAUCCUGCCUCCCCUCCCUACCAGGCGGGUGGGAAGAGGGGCUGCACCGGCCCCAUAAAUCCUAACAACUGUCUCUGCUCACCACCCCGCCUCCCCGGGUGCCCUGCAGGGGGUGGGGGAGACAAAGGUGCCAGACACUGAGCUGUGACGGGAGGCAGGUACGCAGCCGGGGAGUGGGGCGGGGGAGGGUGUCACAUGUGUGGGCCGUGUCCAUUUGUCACUUCUAUCUACUAUUUUUUUUUCUCCAUUUCUUUUAAAUUAAGUUGCCAUCUAUCCUUGUUUAAUCCCAGAAGUCCAAAAGGAACCAUCAGGAGCAGGUUUCUUUUCAUUUUUCCCUGCUUGGGAAGUGAUGUGAGGACGGAGCCAGCGAACAGUCACAGUGGAUCUUAAAUCUUGUGAGAAGCAUCCACGGGCCUGGAAAAAAACAGCUUGCUUCCGCAACAGUCAGGGUCUCCGGGUUCCAGUCUCAGAGGGCCUCUAGAGAGGCCCGUGGACGUGUUGAAAGAGUGUGAUGGCAGGAGCCACAGGAGCCAGUCAGGGCUGGUGUCGUCACUCAGGAGCCACAGGAGCCAGUCAGGACUGGUGUCCUCACUCAUCCACCCUGCGACCUCCAGCAGGUUGCACAGCUGCCCGGUGCCUAGCUUCCUCCCCUGCAGAUUAGAGACCAUGCUAUUACCUGCACAGGUUCCUGUGAAGGCUGAGGAAAGGACGCAUGUACAGACACACUGAAACAGUAAAAUAAUGCACGCUCAUGGGUUUGUUUUUUUUAAGCCAAGGAAAUUGGCCGAGUUCUCCAUCUAUGAAAAGAGUACCACAGGCUCUUCAUCUCACUUUCCUGAAUGUCAGGACAGAAGAGAUAAUAGUAACAAACAUUUCCAAGACCUUGGGUCAAUUUUUCAUUUCACCAACAUCCAAACAAUCAGAAAAUGAAAAACACCCCAAAACUUGUUUUUUCUUCUAACGAUUAUUUCAGCCUACACUAGCACCUGAAGCAAAGCACCAAAGGCUACAUUAUUUUUUAAAUAUCACAUUCUUGGUCUGGAAAAGUUCAUGACAACAUAUUUCUAGCUUAGCCUGAAUAUCUCUUUAACUGAAGCACACCAAUUCUCAACAGUAGUUCUGUUUAAGUAUGUAACUAAACAGAGCACGUAUACCAGAAGCAAAUCAGCAGCUUACUUAAAAGGCCACAUCUGUUGUACUGGAUCAGAACUUCGCGGGGGGACAGGACUGGGAAAUCAUAUUUUAAUGUGUAUGUCAGGUGGUUAAAAGUCAUGCAUGCUGCCUGUUAAGGGCUUCCGCUAAUCUGGAGGCUCUGCAACGUGCUGCCAGAGAGGCAUCAAACCUCCUCUAAGUCCUUCAGCAGCCAAUCCCUGGAACCCCAAGAGGGGAAACUCAGUUCAGUUCAGUUGCUCAGUCAUGUCCGACUCUUUGUGAUCUCAUGGACAUGCCAGGCUUCUCUGUCUAUCACCAACUCCUGGAGCUUACUCAAACUCACGUUCAUCAAGUCAGUCGUGCCAUUCAACCGUCUCAUCCACUGUCGUCCCCUUCUCCUCCUGUCUUCAGUCUUUCCCAGCAUCAGGGUCUUUUCCAAUGAGCUGGUUCUUCACAUCAGGUGGCCAAAGUACUGGAGUUUCAGCUUCAGCAUCAGUCUUUCCAAUGAAUAUUCAGGACUGAUUUCCUUUAGGAAGGACUGAUUGGAUCCCCUUGCAGUCCAAGGGACUCUCAAGAGUCUUCUCCAACACCACAGUUCAAAAGCAUUAAUUCUUCAGUGCUAAGCUUUCUUUAUAGUCCAAAUCUCACAUCCACACAUGACUAUUGGAAAAACCAUAGCUUUGACUAAAUACUUUGGCAUAUGAGUUAGGGUGACCAAUCUUCUUGAUUUCCCUGGGACUAUACCAGUUUUAGCACUUAAAGUAAGUACCCACGAAAUCCCUCAGUCCCAGGCACACUGGAACAGCUGGUCACCUUACUACAAGCUCAGACCAUCUUAUCACCCCUCAGGGAAUCUCCAGCUAUAUAGGAACCCAUGCCUUCUGACCCACUCACGUACAUCCUUUGCUCCCCAAGAAUCAGGCUUUUCAGAGCAAAUGUGACUAGGCAAUCAUUCUCCAUCCAGCUGAGCUCUAUGGUGAACUUCUGAUCACAAUGGACAUAUUAGAGAUAAAGGAGAAGGUAUACAGAGAGCAUUAUUGAAUCCAUCAGUACCAAUUUCCAAAGACCCAUAUUCAAGAAUUUGCUUAAUGAACCCUGAUGCUGAAAGAGAAAAUGGUUCAGGACACAGACACCCUGCUGCCCCACAGUUAAUUUAGAACAAAAUGGUAUGUGCAUCGGUCCUGAUGGCCACUGGAGCAGACAAGCUGAUUAAAUCCUGGCUCUGCCACUGAAUAGCCAUAUGACCUUGGGCAGGUUGCCUGAAUUUUCUCACCUAUUAAAUGGACAUAAAAUCUCCUUCAUAGAUUUAUCAUGAGAAUUAAUACAUAUAAAUUAUAAGAGUGCUUGUAGUAAACUGUCCAUUGCCCCAUAACCUACACACUGCACAGCCAAGACCAGUGUCUAAAUAUUGUCACAUAAGCCAAGUGGAAGGUAACAGGAUUACCAAUUUGUUUCCCAAUAAUUGGGGAAAGUAAAGCAGAACUAGAAAACUAUUUUCUCAGAACAUAUUAUUUUUUCUUUGCUUUGAGAGUCAUUGUCUCCUCCAAGAAUGAUUCCUGUCUUUAAUCUCAUGAUGGAGGUUAAAUAAAUAUAAAUAAAUAAAUAAAGGAACAAUCAACUACAUAAUGAAUUGUCCCUGGCAUCAGUACUAUGCUCUAUCUACAUUAACUCUUUAUGUUAAAGUGUCACAUUAACAGGUUACUCCACCAGGCCUGUGCAAGCCCUUCCCAUUAUCAACCAAGGUGGUUUGGCCUCUGUUGUCUGACUAGUAUGUACUACUUAGUAUCUACCAUAUAUUUCUUGCUAAGCUGGGUACUAUAGGAGAUGCAAUAAAGUGUAAGAAAUGGGAGGAGCUGAUCUUUGCUGCAUUUACUAGUAUUUAUCUGAAGGACAAGCUAUCAGUGGCUAAACAAGUACUUUGUUCUUGUUGUUUAGUUGCUAAGUUACGUCAAACUCUUGUGACCCCAUGACUGGUAGCCCACCGGGCUCUGUUCAUGGGAUUUCCCAGGCGAGGAUACUGGAGUGAGUUCCAUUUACUUCUCCAGAGGAUCUUCCCAACCUAGGGAUCGACCCCACAUCUCCUGUGUUGGCAGGUGGAUUCUUCACAGCUGUGCCACCUGGGAAGCCUAAAAUAGUACAUAUCAAAUACCAAAGUACCUAGGUAUUCAGUAAAGACAAGAGAAGGCAGAGGUCGUUGUGGGCCAGGGAGGUGAAGGAAGAGGAGAAAUAAGCUGGUAUGUGUUAGAUGUCUGCUGUAGCCCAGCUUUUUAUAUACAUCUUGUUCAAUCCCCUCUAACUGAUGCUAUAACAGCACAGCCUAUAACCCUCCAACUUUAUCCUUUCAGUAUGCUCGAGGAAACAUCCAACUUCGAGGAUCGGUGUCUCUGGGCCUGAGGGUUUUUUGCAGAAUGGAGCUGUCCACUUGAGCUGGGACAUUUGUUCUCCCUGGGAAAUUAACCCCCUCUGGGGAACAGCCUUCAGCCAAUAGACUGAGGGGAGUCAGUGUUUAAAUACCCCUACUCCCUUGCCCCUCGGGGAGUAUAAUUUUCAGGGCAUGUGUUUUAUACUUUCCAAGACUGUCUCUGUUGGGAUCAAGCUGCAGCUGUCCCCAGUGGUAACUGACUUGACAGUGAUCCACUAACUGAUUGCCUUCCCUUCCCCAUCCACUGCCCACGCUUCUUCCCUGCAUUCCCUCUGCCUCCCAAAUAUACCAUUCGCACUCACAUCCUCAUCUCAGGAUCUGCUUCUGGCCAAACCCAAACUAAGAUAGCCUCAAAUUUCCUGUGAAAAUGGUGAAAACUGUCUCCUUUCAAUUAAUGAGAAAACCAAGACUGAAGGAGAUUAAGGAACUACUCUAGGGUUACACAACUUGUAUGUGGUAGAGCUCAGCACUGAACCCACAUCCUUCUGACUCCAGGUCCACACCUGUCCUGUUGGCAUACUGCGAGAAGAGCGCCUAUAAGCAUGUCGCUUGACCAUGGGGACACAGCCCACCCUUACUCCCAUACUUAAACCUCAUUCAGGAAACCGGGAACUUCCCCCCAAAUCAAGGGUGAAAAAGAGGCUUCUGGAAUGUAAGGACAAGAAUGAUGGUAAGAGGGGAGAAAAAUCGCCACCUGGAAAUCCUAUACUCCACACGUGAAGGCAGGUACAAGGCAAGAAAAGGCAAGAUACCCUUUCUGCGUGUGAAUAUGGUGAUAAAAUGUCUCCACGCUGUUUCUCAGGAUCCACAGAAAAUGACUUAUGCAGCCACACUUCGAAUUUCUGCAAAUCCUUUGUAUGAAGGCAGUAUGCAGGGCUGUGUUGGAAUAACUGGAGUGGACAUUUAAUGACAACCAAACCUGCACUGGCAAGCAUGAAACCCUUACUGUGGCUCAGGGACCUGUCUGUGAACCCAGGUGAAGUUCUGGCUCAGUUAAAAGGUAACGUGAUCCAAGUUUCAAGCAAAAUGGAAUUGUCAUGGUCAGAAGCAGAUCGAUAGGGCAAAUCAUAUGAAAUCAAAAAGCCAUCAAAAGCCAUCUGCAAAGUUUCUUCUAUUUAUGUCUAGUGUUCUAGUCACCUAUUGCUGCAUAUCAAACCACCUGAAACUCUGGUAGGUUACAACAACCACUUUAUUAUUAUCUCAUAGCUUUUGUGGAUCAGGAAUUCAGGCUGGGCACCAACUAUGGUUGCCUGGAGGUACUCAGCUGGCAUAUGAGCUUGUCUGAAGGGUCUGAGAUGGCUUCACACACAUGGCAGGCUCAUGGGUGGACAUGGCUGCAAGACUGGGCUCAGCAGGGACUGUUGAUCAGAGAACUAAGUCUCCAGUGAACAAAGUGGAAGCUACAUGGUUUUUGAUGACCUAGAGUAAGAGGAACAAAAUAUGACUUCUGCCAUACUACUUAUCAAAGCAGUCACAAGCAUACUUAGAUUCUAGGGGAAAGGACUUGGGCCCAAUCCCUCAAUGGCUGAGUGUUUAAAAGUACAACAUCCAGCCUGGGUUAGAAGCCAAGAAGGGGAGUCAGGGCCUGCAGGCUUUCUCUAAAUCUGAGAUUAUAGCUGCAGCUGCUUUGCCAGGGGUUUUGUGACCUUGGGCGGGGAAGAAACCAGGAAAUGAGGGAUCUGGCAGGGCUAAAAUCCCUGCUUGCCUGACAGUGCUCCCUGCUUCUGUUUUGCAUGGCUGGCACACAGCACUGCAGUCAUGACUGAAGGGCUGAGUGAAGGCUCUCACCUGCUCAAGAUGCUGGUCCCUGAGAGCUGAGAAAGAGGGAGGAGGCCAGAGUGGAAGGGUUUGGCUGAUUUGAGCAAUGCGCAAAUUGAGCAAGGAUCAAAAGCCUGAGAGAUAGUGCCUGUUGUUGCUCAUCACAUAGAAGUUCUGCAGCAAAAGAAAAAAAAAAAGAUCUGCAGCUGACCUUAGGCUCAAUGGGACAGUCUCACCUCCCAAAGUGUCUGCAUCUCCCAAGGCAAGGCCACCCUUGCCUGGGCCACCCAAUUCUGAUGUCCAAUCCUGGAGAAAAGUCCAAGUAACAGUUUCUUACACAUCUAUGGAUGGGUGCCUAGCACAGGAGUGUCCUCAGAGGAGGCCACCAAAAAAAUACACUCAUCAAUUUUAUGUUUGUGUUCUUCUUUCUUUUGUCAUUUACUGCAUUAGAAUUAGAAACUUAGAAAUAGAUUGCAGUGGGAGGUUGGUCAUGAAAGGAAGGGAAAGAAAGGCAUCUAUUGUUGCCAAAAACAACUUCCUGGCGUUGAACUGUGGCCCAGCCUAGCAUCUGGGAGUAGAACGGUCCAAUCCCAUAGAGAUCCACUCAGCCAUGAUCCCUUUACUCAAAGUGAAUUUGAAAUGUUUGAUAUGAUCCCAGUUGAACUAAUUAUUUCCCUCCAUAUUUGCACAGAUUUAAUCAAAUGAUGGAUGGAUAGACUUAUAUGUCCUAGGCACUUGCAUGUAUACUAAUCCAUCAGUCCUUACAAAAACUCCAAGACAUACAUGCACUCAUCCGUAUUUUACCACAGAAGAAACGGAGUGAACCAAAUGAACACCCAGAUUUGUCUUUUUCCCAAGCCCCUUUCUAUUUUCGCUCUGGCUCUGGGGUGACUCUACAUCACCAGUCACUCCAUCCCAUGGGCUAGAACGUAGGCCAGCAAUGUGGACCCCUCCCUCUCCCCAUGUCUGUCAGUAGGAAGGCCCCAAAUGGUCUCCAUUCUCAGUGCUUUUUCAUGAACACUGUUCUUACUCUCUGAUAACAAACUCAUUCUUGCAUCUUUCAUCCUUCGUCACUCGGGCUAUUGUGCCAGCCUCCUGGCCAGUCUGUCUGUCUCAACUCCCCUGUUCUCUGUCCAUCCUCCAUACUAUAACCAGAAAGCUGAAACACAGAUCUGAUCAUAUAAGCCUUUGCCCAUAAAUUUUCAAUCUUUCUCCACAACCUACAGAAUAAAUGACUAAUCCUGGAGCCUGAUGUUCAAGGCUGUCUAUGAUCUCCUCCUGAUCAACAUGUCUCAUCUCAUAUACCACUAUCUCCUUUCACUGGUAUUUUGCAAACCAGAAUCAAUAAAACCCUGACCAUUUUCUAUAAGAGUGGAGUUCUAUAUAAUAUAUUGAAAAUUUCUGUCUUUAUUUCAGUGGUAAUCUUAAGAGGAAAGUGUUUGCCUCUGUGUGUGUGUGUGUGUGUGUGUGUGCUCAGUCGUGUCCAACUCUUUGGACCCUAUGGACUGUAGCCCACCAGGCUCCUCUGUCCAUGGAAUUCUCCAGGCAAGAAUACUGGAGUGGGUUGCCAUUUCCUCCUCCAGGGCAUCUUCCAACCCAGGGAUGGAACCCACGUCUCCUUCAUUUGCAGGUGGAUGCCUCCUCAUGGGUCUUCACUUUGUUUUCUUCGUUCCAGCAAUCCAUCAGAUCACAAAAUCCAAGUUAGCCAGAUCCCUGCUCGGUCACCUUGGCUCAUGUUGCCCCUUGGGUUUAGAAUGCUUCCCACACCUUCCACUUCCACACUCAGCUCCUACCCACCACCACUCCCCAGCUUCAUCAUGCUUCUCAGUAGGGGUAGCUCCAGGUAGAGCUUCAGGUGUUAAGAUCUCCAACCUGGAGUGGACAUUGUAGGUCAUAUUGGGCUCAUUUUACAGUCAGGAAAAUCUAGACCCAGAGAAGACAAGCAACAAACUAGGCCUAGAACCCAGGCCUCCUGACACUGUAUAUGGAGCUCUUUUCACUUACUCUUUGCAACUUACUGAUCACCUUCCUUAAAGUUUUAUUGUCCAUCUUUGGAUUGGAUCACUGGCAUGGUGGCAUGCAGGGUAAAUUCUCAGUUUCCCUAACAUCAUGACAGACAAAGCCAUAAAACCACAGUAAUUACCUAGCAUAUUCAUAUGUCUAAGGGACCACAGUGGAAUAUCCCAUGGGAGUUGAAUGCGAGGAGCAUUUCACAUUUCUGAACUUUGGACAAUGUAGGCUACUCAAAUGAAUGCCAGGCAGAUUUACUCUUGAGACAUCUAGAAUUAUAUGCUGAUUUAUUGAAUCUACUAUAAUGUCCCCAAAUCAAUUUUUAAACAUUUUUGCAAACCAGAACACGAUACAGAAGCAAUAUAGCAGUUAGUUCAGUGCUCUGAAGUUAGUAAAUAUUCACUAAAUGUGAGUUGGAUGAAUGGAUGUGUCACAGACUGGGAAGCCAGGACACCUGAGUGACAGUCUCAUUCUUCUGCUCACUGGCCACAAGGUCUUGGGAAAACCACUUGUUACUCAUGAAGCCUUAGUCUGUUCAUGUAAAAUGAGGCAUUUGGACCAACUCAGUGUCUCUGAGAUACAUUCCUUACAGUUAUAAAAUUAUAUAAUUUCAUAAAAAUGCCAAAUCUAUUCAUACUGUUGGUAUCAAUGGAAAGUAAAAAUAGAACGAGUGUUUAUUAACUGUUCUUGUUUUGUUUCAUUGUUUAUUAUAUACAUCACUUUACAUUAUUUCAGACUAUUGUGUAUUUUAGUUAUUGCAAUUAACUUUUGAAGAAAAUAUUAUUGUAACAAUAACAGUAUUUUUAGCAUAAAUAAAAACUGACUUGGAGAAACUGCUUUAUUAACACAGCAAGAUGUCAUCUUCUAGGCUUGUUUGGAUUACAACUGCUUUAAAACAUUGGGAAAUAGGCAGUAUAAAACUGAUCCCUGAGAGAAAGGAUCAAUAAGAUGAGCCUUAAAAUACCUCUGGAUUUAUCCUUGGAGGCAGUUCCCAUCUGGAAAUUAUGAGCACAAUCUGCAAGCUUUGAUAAGCAGAGGAGACAGAACCCAGAGACUGGGGAAGCUGAAGAGGCUAGGAGUUGAGGAUCACAAUUUCACAAAAGAGGGGCAAUACACAGGAAAAGAACACCAUAAGUCUGCUGAGAUAUCCUCUUGAGUCUGUUGAGAAUUAUUAUGUGUAUGUAUAAGGUGAAACUCUACAAAAUGAGGCAAAAGAAAUGACCAGAGAGUAGUAAGCUGAACAACCCAGAGUUCUCACAAGGUGGCAAUGCUUGUGUACCAAACAAAAUGGAGAGUUCUUCAUGAUCCCCUGGCCAAUUGACGGAGAGCCCAGGGGAGUCAUACUUGAGUAGACAUCCUGGAGUGAAGGUUACUUUGGACCCUGAAUAGCAAAGCUCAAAGACAGGACUCAAACGGAUCAAACUAUUUCAUGAGUAAAUUAACUUCCAGCCAAAACAAAGUCUCAGUUCAGUUCAGUUCAGUU